CCUACGGGUGGCAGCAGUGGGGAAUAUUGGACAAUGGGGGAAACCCUGAUCCAGCGACGCCGCGUGAGUGAAGAAGUAUUUCGGUACGUAAAGCUCUAUCAGCAGGAAAGAAAAUGACGGUACCUGACUAAGAAGCCCCGGCUAACUACGUGCCAGCAGCCGCGGUACUACGUAGGGGGCAAGCUUUAUCCGGAUUUACUGGGUGUAACGGGAGCGUAGACGGCAGCGCAAGUCUGGAGUGAAAUGCCGGGGCCCAACCCCGGAACUGCUCUGGAUACUGUGAAGCUGGAGUGCAGGAGAGGCAAUCGGAAUUCCGUGUGUAGCGGUGAAAUGCGUAGAUAUACGGAGGAACACCAGUGGCGAAGGCGGAUUGCUGGACAGUAACUGACGCUGAGGCGCGAAAGCGUGGGGAGCAAACAGGAUUAGAUACCCCUGUAGUC
rnacentral:rRNA from 1 species